GCCUCAACUACUUCCUCCGACAGCUUGUUCCGUACACCCACCCACCCUUUGUGUGAAAAGGUUACCUCUCAGUUCCUAUUAAAUCUUUCCCCUCUCACCAUAAAUCAACUUUAGCAAUUACAUUAAAUAGCACAAAAUCAUCAUCAUUAAAUAAAAUGGCACACUUGCUACAUCUAAUGACAAAUAUAAUCAAAAGACCGUGAAAUAAUUACAAAAGCUUAAGAAGUGGAGCCUUGUUCUAACAGUUGCAAAGGUGCUUGUUAGUUACUGAGGGUUGUUUAGGCUCCAAAGACUGACUAACAGUUGAUUGUGCACUGGGUUACUAUUGUAGAUCUGGUUCAUUCCAAUUACUAUUUGAAGGCUUUUGAACUUCAUCACUGAUUGAUGCAAAGUUUGUGUUCUUCUUACAGACUCUCUCCCUCCCGAAUGGAGCUGCCCAAAAUAUAAUUACUUCCUUCACAAUGACCUUAUCCUGAUUUAUCUUAUCUACCAAGUGUGAAUAUUCCACUGCUUCCAAAUUGCAACUGGCUAUAUUUUAGGUAUAUACUUUUAAAGAUAAUCAACACAUUUUGAAAUGAUGAAAAGGAAAAUAAUGCACAUCUGUGGAGAGGGGAUCAAGGUUAACAACUGCGGUCAAUAGCUUUGUAUGAUACCGACCUUAUGAUACAGGAAACAAUGGAUCAUAACAAUGUGUA